GCAGUUGUGGCCGAGUGGUUAGGGCGAUAGACUAGAAAUCCAUUGGGGUCUCCCCGCACAGGUUUGAAUCCUGUUGACUGCG
rnacentral:tRNA from 1 species